rnacentral:rRNA from 1 species
UCAAGACGUCAUCUCAGAAUAUAAGUGAUGUCGUGCCGAUCUCGUCUGAUCUCGGAAGCUAAGCAGGGUCGGGCCUGGUUAGUACUUGGAUGGGAGAAUAUAAGUGACGUCUGGAU